UUCCGUUAAUUGAUUAUGACGUACUUGUACUGAUUGAGAUUUUAACACGAAGUGAGUGGCGAACGGGUGAGUAACACGUGGGUAACCUGCCCAGAAGUAGGGGAUAACACCUGGAAACAGAUGCUAAUACCGUAUAACAGAGAAAACCGCAUGGUUUUCUUUUAAAAGAUGGCUCUGCUAUCACUUCUGGAUGGACCCGCGGCGUAUUAGCUAGUUGGUGAGGUAAAGGCUCACCAAGGCAGUGAUACGUAGCCGACCUGAGAGGGUAAUCGGCCACAUUGGGACUGAGACACGGCCCAGACUCCUACGGGAGGCAGCAGUAGGGAAUCUUCCACAAUGGACGCAAGUCUGAUGGAGCAACGCCGCGUGAGUGAAGAAGGGUUUCGGCUCGUAAAGCUCUGUUGUUAAAGAAGAACGUGGGUAAGAGUAACUGUUUACCCAGUGACGGUAUUUAACCAGAAAGCCACGGCUAACUACGUGCCAGCAGCCGCGGUAAUACGUAGGUGGCAAGCGUUAUCCGGAUUUAUUGGGCGUAAAGCGAGCGCAGGCGGUCUUUUAAGUCUAAUGUGAAAGCCUUCGGCUCAACCGAAGAAGUGCAUUGGAAACUGGGAGACUUGAGUGCAGAAGAGGACAGUGGAACUCCAUGUGG
rnacentral:rRNA from 1 species